GAACUCUUAUAAAUCCAUUGGAUUUCUCUCAACAUGGGGGCAACCCCGUGGACCACCGCCCCCCUAUCAACCUAGCCUGUAACGUCCCAUGUCCGGUGUUCGAGACUAAAUUUCGGUUUCAGUGGAGCAACAGCAGCUGCUUCUGGUGAGGGAGGAGGAGAAGAAGAAUGAACACAGAGAAUAGGGAGGGUGGGAAGAAGAAGAAGCAUGGACGACAGAGAAGCUCGGAAGCAUAACCAAUUGGACCAGAAAAUCGGCAAGAUCCUCGACGAGACUCGAACCUCCUCUACCACCCAUAACCGCAAGCUCGAGGACCUCUCCGCCCUCCUCUCUCAGUCUCACCCCCAUUUCUUCUCCGCCUUCACCAAAACCCUAGCUCCUCUCUUCGACUUCCAGCGCCGUGCCCCUGCUUCCGAGCGCGUGGUCCGCUUCCUUGCCGCCUUCUGCAGCUCGUGCGCCUCCGGAGCUCCUCCCAUCCCUCUUCUCUCUGUCCUCAUUUGUCAAAGAUUUUUUUUUUUUAAGAUUUGUCUUUUAGUUUAUCAGAUUAUAUUAAAUCAUACAAUACUUCAUUAAAGAAUUUAAAAAAAUAAAAUAUUUUUUUUCGUCUAAUUUUUAACGAAAAAUUGAUAAAAAGUUCCAUUUGAUGUAAAUUUAGUCCAUCAUUAUCAAAA